CUGACAAGAUCGGAGGAAGCAAAGUCAAACCUUAAGGGAGGAUCCGUGUCGUUCAUUAGCUGUGAACGAGUCUCAUUUGAUGCUCUUUGAAGAAGACAAGACACGGAGAGAGAGAGAGAGAGAGAGAGAGAGAGAGA